rnacentral:rRNA from 1 species
CCUACGGGUGGCAGCAGUCGAGAAUCAUUCACAAUGGGGGAAACCCUGAUGGCGCGACGCCGCGUGGGGGAAUGAAGGUCUUCGCAUUGUAAACCCCUGUCAUGUGGGAGCAAAUUAAAAAGAUAGUACAACAAGAGGAAGAGACGGCUAACUCUGUGCCAGCAGCCGCGGUAAUACAGAGGUCGCAAGCGUUGUUGGGAAUCACUGGGCGUAAGGCGUGCGUAGGCUGUUUCGUAGGUAGUGUGUGAAGGGCGCGGGCUCAACCCGCGGACGGCACAUGAUACUGGGAGACGGGAGUAAGGGAGGGGGGACCGGAAUGCUCGGUGAAGCAGGGAA